rnacentral:rRNA from 1 species
AAACCAACAGGGAUUGCCUUAGUAACGGCGAGUGAAGCGGCAAAAGCUCAAAUUUGAAAGCUAGCACCUUCGGUGUUCGCGUUGUAAUUUGAAGAAUACAUCUUUGGAGUUGGCCCUUGUCUAUGUUCCUUGGAACAGGACGUCAUAGAGGGUGAGAAUCCCGUCUGAUGGGGUGUCCAAUUCUUUGUAAAGAGUGUUCGAAGAGUCGAGUUGUUUGGGAAUGCAGCUCUAAGUGGGUGGUAAAUUCCAUCUAAAGCUAAAUAUUGGCGAGAGACCGAUAGCGAACAAGUACAGUGAUGGAAAGAUGAAAAGAACUUUGAAAAGAGAGUGAAAAAGUACGUGAAAUUGUUGAAAGGGAAGGGCAUUAGAUCAGACUUGGUGUUUUGUGAUUAUCUUCCUCUUGUAGGUUGUGCACUCGCAUUUCACUGGGCCAGCAUCGAUUCGGAUGGUAAGAUAAUGACAUUGGAACGUGGCUGCCCUCGGGUAGUGUUAUAGCCUUUGUUGAUAUUGCCUAUCUGGAUCGAGGACUGCGUCUUUUGACUAGGAUGCUGGCGUAAUGAUCUAAUGCCGC